CCUACGGGUGGCAGCAGUGGGGGAUAUUGCACAAUGGGGGAAACCCUGAUGCAGCGACGCCGCGUGGGUGAAGAAGCGCCUCGGCGCGUAAAGCCCUGUCUGCAGGGAAGAAAAUGACGGUGCCUGAAGAAGAAGCCCCGGCUAACUACGUGCCAGCAGCCGCGGUCAUACGUAGGGGGCAAGCGUUAUCCGGAUUUACUGGGUGUAAAGGGGGCGCAGGCGGCGAUGCAAGCCAGGAGGGAAAGGCCGGGGCCCAACCCCGGGACUGCUCGGGGUACUGCGUGGCUAGAGUGCAGGAGGGGCAGGCGGAAUUCCUGGUGUAGCGGUGAAAUGCGUAGAUAUCAGGAGGAACACCGGUGGCGAAGGCGGGCUGCUGGACUGCAACUGACGUUGAGGCCCGAAAGCGUGGGGAGCGAACAGGAUUAGAUACCCCUGUAGUC
rnacentral:rRNA from 1 species